UUGGGGGGAUUGUGUGUGUGUGGGUUGGGGGGGUAACUCUUUGAAGGACUCAUUCUGUUUUAUUAAAAGGAGAGGUUGACCUGUUAUCACCGUUCUAGAGACUACAUCCUGUCAAUCUAUUAAAGGAGAGGUUUCUGUCAAUAUAUUAAAGGAGAGGUUUCUGUCAAUCUAUUAAAGGAGAGGUUUCUGUCAAUCUAUUAAAGGAGAGGUUUCUGUCAAUCUAUUAAAGGAGAGGUUUCUGUCAAUCUAUUAAAGGAGAGGUUUCUGUCAAUCUAUUAAAGGAGAGAUUUCAGGGACCUGUUAUCACCGUUCUAGAGACUACAUCCUGUUAAUCUAUUAAAGGAGAGGUUUCAGGGACCUGUUAUCACUGUUCUAGAGACUACAUCCUGUUAAUCUAUUAAAGGAGAGGUUUCUGUCAAUAUAUUAAAGGAGAGGUUUCUGUCAAUCUAUUAAAGGAGAGGUUUCUGUCAAUCUAUUAAAGGAGAGGUUUCUGUUAAUCUAUUAAAGGAGAGGUUUCAGAGACCUGACCGUUCUAGAGACUACAUCCUGUCAAUCCAUUAAAGGAGAGGUUUCUGUCAAUAUAUU